CCAGUCAUUGGCGAAACUGAUACUCAUAUCCAUUUACAUAGAAUACUGCCCCAGAGAAACAGGCAGCAGCCAUCAGCAUUGAGACAAAGCCGUCCAUAAGCAAAAAGAUUACAACUCGCUGGAAGCUCAGAUGAUUAGUAUUUUUUAGCAGUAUUUUAAAAUUAAGCACAACGACGUGAUGAGCUCCAUAAUGUCUUAGGUCUUGCAUGGCCCUCUACGUGGCAGCUGAUUUUCACUUUUGCUUCUCUGACAUUCUCCUGGGAAGGCCACUAGCCACUCAGCCUGCACUUCACAUCACCCUGAAGCUGUCCCAUGAGGCUUUGAAGCAGACGAGGCACUGUCACCUGCGUACCCUGUUUAGUUUUGUCAGAGUUGAACCACAAGAAUAUACAAUAAUGGGAGAGAGACCAAAGAGUUAAGCCUUAUUCAGACUGAGCAAAGCGCCUUCUGGGAAGCUGGUUCACUGGCUAAGAAUACUCUGUGUCCUAUGCAUGAUACUCUAUGUACUGUACUCAUUGUACAUAAGGAAACAGGUUUUUUGUAGGUCAAAAAGGUUGAAUGUUGGUAAUUUCAUAUGCUUCACUGUAAAAUUAUACUCUGACUUGCUAUAAUGGAUUUAUAUAGUGUCUAUUUUUAAUAAAAAUAUUUCUGUGCUAUAUAGGGCAGUGCUCAACAA